CGUGUGGGAGCCGGACGGGAAGCAGUCGCAGGGGUAGCACGUGUCACUGCUCUGGGGCCGGUAGUAAUUGGCCUGGAGAAACCAAAAUCACAGACACAGUGGCAUUCUCCAUUGGUCUUAUUGCAAUCAGAAUCAAACCCUUUACUAGUCUCACAAUUACAUGGGCCACAGAUGGGGUUUCCCCACCAACCUCUGGGACAAGAGACACUGGCCCACAAAUAUCAUCAAAGAACCAAGCAGCCUGCUGCCUUCAAAGUAUUAGAAAAACCCCACAAAUUGAGGCAUCAGCAAGAACAUGUUUUUUCAGUGACAAAGGGGACAUUCAGGAAUGCACAGUGCUGGAGGCAGAGGUGACAGCUGGGAACGGGGGGAGGCAGUGCUGCUGUGACUGCCAUCAUCUCUACCACCUGACUUUAAAAUGAGUUUCCAGAGAU